UGUUUCUUUCAUCAGUAUGCUGAUCCAGUCAUCAGUUUUCCUUAGUGAUAAUGCUACUGUGAUAGGGUUGGCUUUCAUGAGUGAGGUUUUUCAUCUUGUAGUGAAGGUAUGAAAUGAUAUGGCUACAGUGGAUGGAUUUGGCUUCAUAUAUGGUUUUCAGGAGCGACAUUUUUCAUUCUGUAGUGAAGAUAUGAGAUGAUAUAUUUCCCAGGUUGCUUACUCAGGACAAAUAGUGAUCACUGUUUCUUCAGUUCCAGUCCUGCAAGAGCUUGUAGUGGGGCAGUGUACAAGAACUUGGACCUUGUCAAAUUUUCAUGGAUCUCAUUUAUGGUCAUCCGCUUUUUAGGUUCUUGAAGAAUUGCUUUUGGCAUUCAAGUUGGUUUAUGACAUGCCAUUGUAUAGUGCAAUAUGCAUGGGAGUUUUGACAUGCUUUUAAUUUUUCUUUUGGUUGGUCAUUGUGCUUUUUUUGUGGGGCACAGUGGCAAGGUUGUGACAUUGAAUGAAUGUUUGGUCCAGGAGCAUCUGUGUGAUUGGGAUAGGUAAACUCUAUUUUGGGGUAACAUUGAAUGUUUAUUUUGUACAUAAGAUGGGCUUUUUCACUAUAUGGUGUUUGAUAUGUGAUUUGGAUGUAAUCAGUUAAGUUAGGCAUGUUCAUUGACUGGCAGUAUGCUUUCUUCUAGGUUAUGAUUCAUUUCUUUGUCAUUAAAGUUGUACUUUUUUGCAACACAUCUUAUCAAUUUAUGGUAGUCGAGCUUUCUGUCUCAUGUCUCACCGGCAAGCUUGAUUAGUUUAUGACUUUCCAGAGUGGUACAGCAUGCUAGUGUAACAACAUAGAACUACAAUUAAGACAGUGGGUUAGCUUGAUUUGUCCCCAUCCUUUUUGUGGAUCACGUAAAAUUCAUCUCUACUUUAGUAGCCGUUCUGCAUAUUUUGAUGAAGGGAUUUUUUUGUUGGAAUGUAGUUUUUAUCCACCAUUUUAUGUUGUUUGCUGACCUAUAUUGUCAUGAUGACUUGAUGGUUCAACUUGUCUCUGAUAUUUCAAGAAGUAAAUUGGAGUCCAAGGAAUCAUUUAUUGCCAAGGUUCAUCAUUAGUUUUAUCAUUCUCAUGGGUAGUCUCUUUGGUUUAGUUACUAACUGGUUCUCAUGCAUGAUACCUUUGGGUUUGACUGCUAGAUGGUACUCUGAUUUAUCUGAAUAGUAUUGACUAGUAUCUUGAUUAAACCACUAAUUGUAUACUACAAAGUCAUUGAUUUUGUGUGUAUUAGUUAAAGGGACUCCACCUUUUUAUCUAGGGCAUCCUCCCUCAUUAUCUUCUCAACAUCCAGGCUCCUUUUGUCUGAAAGGAGUUCCAUAUUUUUAUGAACAGGACUUGACCUUGAUGGA
rnacentral:lncRNA from 1 species